rnacentral:rRNA from 1 species
UACAGAGGUCUCAAGCGUUUGUUCGGAUUCAUUGGGCGUAAAGGGUGCGUAGGUGGCGCGCUAAGUCAGGUGUGAAAUUUCGGAGCUUAACUCCGAAACUGCAUUUGAUACUGGCGUGCUUGAGGACUGGAGAGGAGACUGGAAUUCAUGGUGUAGCAGUGAAAUGCGUAGAGAUCAUGAGGAAGACCAGUGGCGAAGGCGGGUCUCUGGACAGUUCCUGACACUGAGGCACGAAGGCCCAGGGGAGCAAAACGGG